AUUGAACGCUGGCGGCAGGCCUAACACAUGCAAGUCGAGCGGAGCGGCGGACGGGUGAGUAAGGCCUAGGAAUCUGCCUGGUAGUUGGGGAUAACGUCAGGACAGGGGCGCUAAUACCGCAUACUAUUCGAUGAGCCUAGGUGGGAGUAGCUAGUUGGUGGGGUAAAGGCAUACCAAGGCGACGAUCCGUACCUGGUCUGAGAGGAUGAUCAGUCACACUGGAACUGAGACACGGUCCAGACUCCUACGGGAGGCAGCAGUGGGGAAUAUUGGACAAUGGGCGAAAGCCUGAUCCAGCCAUGCCGCGUGUGUGAAGAAGGUCUUCGGAUUGUAAAGCACUUUAAGUUGGGAGGCGUUACCAACAGAAUAAGCACCGGCUAACUUCGUGCCAGCCGCCGCGGUAAUUC
rnacentral:rRNA from 1 species